UCCUCUGUGGCGCAAUUGGCUAGCGCGUCUGACUGUUACUGUCUCAAACAGAAGCAAUCAGGAGGUUGACAGUUCAAGCCUGUCCGGAGGAG
rnacentral:tRNA from 1 species